AUUGAACGCUGGCGGCAGGCCUAACACAUGCAAGUCGAGCGAGCGGCGGACGGGUGAGUAAUGUCUGGGAAACUGUCUGUUGGGGGGGGGUAACUCCUGGAAACGGUGUCUAAUACCGCACACCAUCAGAUGUGCCCAGAUGGGAUUAGGUAGGAGGUGGGGUAACGGCUCACCAAGGCGACGAUCCCUAGCUGGUCUGAGAGGAUGACCAGCCACACUGGAACUGAGACACGGCCCAGACUCCUACGGGAGGCAGCAGUGGGGAAUAUUGCACAAUGGGCGCAAGCCUGAUGCAGCCAUGCCGCGUGAGUGAAGAAGGCCUUCGGGUUGUAAAGCACUUUCAGCGGGGAGGCGUUACCCGCAGAAGAAGCACCGGCUAACUCCGUGCCAGCAGCCGCGGUAAUAC
rnacentral:rRNA from 1 species